CGUGGAUUCAGAUGUCUCUGAAGAAGCAUCUGUGAAAGCGGAUGCUGCGGUACUUUUCUUCCACUGCCAUUGGUCCAACAAUGUCUCUGUCUAUGACACAUUGUCUAGAACACAUGAUCCUCCAAGAAAUCCAUGCCUGUGAAUGCAAGGCAAAAGCUGCAAGCAGCAGUGAGGUAGAAGUUAGGCUUCUGUGGAGAAUUCCUUUGUCUCUUCUUGCAGCCUCCAGCGUGCAGUUUGUGCUGCAGACUUUUUAAAACUGCUGACAAAAUUAUUUGCAAGUUCUUUUAACUUAGGUGCCUUUGCUUUUCUUUUUUCUAUGGCAUCAUAGUAGCAAAGAACUGUGUAGGGAUCCUAGAUAAACAUCCUCUGAAAUUACUUCAGAAUUUACCAAAGAUGCUAUUCUAUUCUUCUGCUGUGUUUAAAUUAUUCAGAGAGCAAACCCCUUUGGUCAGAGCAUAGCACUGCUAACUGAUGUGAGCAAAGCAGCGUUCCUGCUGGGUGGCAUUAUUGCUGGUAGCUGCAAUACCGACUUCCAACUGGCAGUGUCUGCAUUAAACGUUGGCAUCAACAAGAAUCCGUGGGGCAAUUUGCACAUCUCCUACUGACAGUUUGAGAUUAUGCCUUAUGUGAUAUGUAUUGCUGUUAGUCACUGGUGGUGGUGGUGAUGAUUUCGGUUCAGAAGCAUAGCGUAGCAGUUUCCUUCUGUCUCACAGGGAGUUUGAAGAGGCAUGCACUCAGACACCCAGUAGGUGGUGCUCACUGCAUCACUUUUAGGGGAAGAACAAGGUCAGCAGGCAGAAGAUCUUGAAAAAUCUGGUUCAGGAUGUCUUCAAUUAUGUUUAAUACCAAAUAAUGUCUAAACUGUGCAGUGGCCAGAAUUCCUAUUUUUUUUAAGUUAAUCUGCUCGAAAUUUCUUUCUAUACAAGAGCUUAUCAAAGGUUACACAGUUUGCUGUAGCUUAGCUGUUGGUUGUCCUAGCUUUAAAUAUGCACAACUUUCCCCAGUUGUUUUAUGGAGAAAUUAUGCUUAAUUUAUUUCUUUUAUGGAGGAAAUCUUUGACAUGCUAUUUUUGACAUGGUGGAGAAGCUUUAAAAGGAAUUGGAGUUCCCCAGGCAGCUCUUAGCCAAAAUGUUUCUUUGGAAAUUUCUCCUUCACCUGACUCUAUAGGGAUUUAACCCAGAAGGUAAUGAAAAUCUGAUUAUUUUUGCAGAUCAGGCAAAACAAAAAUGGGGCAUUCACUGAUGAGGUGUGGAAUGGCAUGUCAAGGUUGACUCUGGAACAAGACAUGGUGAUCCAAUCCCCAGGACUACUGUUUUGCUCAAGCACAGCCACCCUAGCAAUUGGAAAGUGAUACUAGCGAAAUAAAACAGCUGUCCUCUUGGAGAGAGGAAACACAGCAGAGGUAUUCAUAGACCCAGCAUCCGCUAGGGCUCAGUUCAAGAUCACUGAAGCCAAAUUACUGGUAGAAUUGCAGAACCUUUGGAUACCAGAAGGGCUCUGGUGUUCAACAGGGAUGAUUUCAUCGUGCAUUUCAAGUAAAUGUUACAGGGAGUGAUAUUUUCUAUUAUGCUGAUGACUAGCAGUUGGUUGCAUCUGUUCUAUUAUCAAAGCUUACCAGUCCCUCCGCUUCCUAGGAAACCUCAUUAUUCCUGUUUUCUACUGAAUACAAAUAAGUAGUGUAGGUGAUUAAUCACAGGAAUACUUUAGGCUUUUAGAAAAGUUGUUUGGGGAAAUCAAUGAAUAAUACAAAGGUUGAAUUUAGAUGAGAAUAUCUCUACUUGUGUUUAUCCUCACUGCUGACAGCCUGAUAGCUUCUGGGAGGUACUAUUUUUCCUUUCCUGAAAACAAGAGGAGAGAGAGGUCAUCGGGGUUGGAAACCAGGUGACCUUAAUGGAAGCUUCUUUGCCAUUAGCUCCAGCCUACGGAUGUUUGGGAGCAAGGCCUCUUGCUUCAGCCUGCUUCUCCAGGUUGGUGGUCUGAAAGCUAAUGCAGAGGUAGGAGCUGAGUCACAGCCUUCCUGCAUUCCUGGAGUUGACGUUCUUUGAUAUGUGGGAGUGUGCCUUAGGUUUCAGGUUGCAGAAGGGAUGCUGCAGUACACUGACCAUAAACAUAGGCACUCAGGAACUGGAAAAAUCAGAAUUAAUAUUGAUCUAUAGCAUAAAACUGCUCUGGAGGGUGCACUUUAGAACCUACUGUACUUUUUCUCCUACAUAAACUUUCUUGAUUUAUUUGACGUGGUGACUUAUCGGUGGUGAAGAAGUGUUAGCUCUGAGUGGUAGUUUUUGGCUUCUUUUCUGCUAGUAGUACUUCAGUGCCCAUGUUUGAAACCUCUCUGUUCUGCUUUAUAUGCAACGUACUCUGUCAGCAGUCUCUUCUGAGGGCUCAAGGACUCAGUGAGUGCAGAGAUAAAAGCUUGUUUCUCCAAGUUGAAGUUAAGCUGCAGUGGGGGACAGUUUGGGGAAACUUGGAGAGCUUCUUGCUGUUUCAUGUAUAGGCAGAAUUUCAGGGCUGUCACCACUUCACUGGGUAGAAAAUUCUGUUUAACAGCAAAGUAAGAGCCCUAAACUCUGCCCUUUGGCUCUGGCAAGCCCCUUAGUAGCACAGGGACCAGAUCCUUAGCCUGCUUUCCUCCCUGUAACUCCUGGGUUGAUCUGGAGAAGUCAUUUGUGUUACUUCACUCACAAAGUGAUGAAAUCAGGGCCAGGAUUUGGCUGGCUGUCUGCACAGAAAAGAGACGUUUCUCUGUAAGUCUGCUGUGCAUGCCAAGAGCUCUGUGGGAAGGUCCAAGCUAAUGCUCCCCACUGGCUGCCUUGGCCCCAGCUCGUGCCAAGCCCUUGCAGCAGACUAGACACAAAAGAAAACACGCAGUCUAAAUUCAUUGGUAUGAAGAGGUUGUGCCAGAGUAUUCCACAGCUUGUCUUUUUCUGUUUCUCUUUGUUAAUUGUCAAUUUGCAUGAAAACAAAAACUAUAAAGGGUUGUAUUUUUUUUUCAGUGUAGUUCAGGCUGCAUUGGCAUUUAGUUUUGCACAGCUCUGCAUUUAAUACUGAAGAUGCUCUAUGGCAGACCUGAGAACCUGUUCCAGAUGUUGCUAAAGGCCGUUGAAAGAUUCCCUGUACCUUUAAUGAGCUCUAGGUAAGACACAGAUGUGUAUCAGGACUGUAUUCAUAUCUGCAGGAGAGGAAUGAGUGGUAGGAGAGAGGGAAAUCCACAAUGGGGCAUGUGUUUUAAGUCAGUUUCCAUUUUUUUGUGAUCUCUGUCAGUGAAGAUUUGAGUGUUGGAGACCUGUUGGCUUACCUGCUCAAAAAGUCCGUUGUCAGGUAUGUUUGGGUGUAAACGUGCUCUAUGCUGAUGAGGUCCCAGAUUCCUCUCUACGAGUAGUGGCGCAGAGACUGUGGGGUUUUGUAGGGCAGUGUGUUUAAUAGAACUCUUGGAGUUGGGUCAUGCUCUGACCCCUUCUGUGGCCAUCUGUGUUUAUGUGUUCCCUAAUUUUUCUGUCGUCUUUAAAACACUGGUUCCCAGCCCUUUUCCUCCCCAAUCCUCUCACACUCUGGGAACCCUGCUGCUCCCUUCUAGGCACCCCAGGCCCUGACCUGCUGUCCACAUCUCCCAACACUUGUUGCCCCUCUUCAUCUCAUAGAUGAGGUGCUGCUUGCAAGCUGGAGACUGAUUCCCUGACUGCACCAUUCUGUGGCAAAGCCUUGGACUCGGGAGCAGCAGCUACCCACUAAAUCACUUUCCCAUGCCCAGCAUCAGUCUCACAUUGAAAAGUGAAAUUUUGUAGGUUGUUCUUUGGUCAGCUCUACACAUGGUUUAUUUACUUGGGCAUGUAAAACACAAAGGUAGUACAGCAUUGCCAAAAUUACAAAAUGACUUUUUUUUAUUCAUCUACCCUAUUUUGUAGAGCAUUAUUUGAGAAGAAAAACCAUGCAAGAAGCAAGAGAAAGCUUUACUUUUAUCUGUGUGGAGCCUAUAAAUCCACAUGGCUUCUCUGUGCUGUCAAGCAUGUGAGUUCUUAGAAAUGCAGCUGAUGGUAGUUUAGCUCGAAUACAAUCGUUCUAAAACAAGCUAGAAAUAAAUAAAAUACUUACAUUUCAAGUACAAAACCUUGCAGUUGAAUUCAAUAUGGGGAAAUCAGUUUACUCCUUUUCGUGUUACCAACUACUGUACAGGUACUUGGGCUGGCAAAGUCUGCAGAUGCAGAAUAGAAAACGUCUUAUGGACAUGACUUAAUUGAACGGUGUGUUUAGUUUUUCCUUUAGGCUGUCAGGUGAAGUUGUUUUAUAUCAGAUUUUUUGACACUUUUAGCAAGGCAGGAGCUCACUACAAGUACUGCCUCUCAAUUUUGGCCUUUAUAUCUUUCCUUUGUGGUGCAAUGCAAAAAUAAAACUCAAAAAAAAAAAAAGGGGGGGGGGGAGGGGAAGGGAGUAUCAUGUCAAAAAUAUUGACAACUACCUCCUUUGAAUAAGGCUAUUUGCAGGUAGAUACUUAUUUUUAAUCAAAUGUGAGUGACUUUACCAAGGCUCCUGCAUAGCUCUAGUAUGAGGAAGGGCGUUGACCUCUCAUCUGGAUUCUGCUUUGGGUGAUCUGGCGGCUUCCCACUGGCCUUUGGUACGCAGGGCUCUCCCUUGGUGGUACCUGUAUGGACUGCUGGCCUAAGUUCCUCUGGGACUCAAAUAAGCUUUGCUCCGCUGCGCUCCUCUCCGAACAGGUGAAAGUCAGCGCUACACCGAUAUCGCUCUUCAUGAUUCUGGAGGUGCCAUCUGAUGUGCCAUCGAAACACCUGCCCAAAGCAAUUUCCUUGGCGAUCCUUGGGUCCUGGUCAGUGACGGUAUAGAUGCCGUAGUUAUGUCCCAGUGGGUCAAGGGGUGCUAGCAUUGUGUAUUCACUGGAAUCAUUGUUGGUAGCCAUGGGGAGGUGGUUCACCAGGUACUCGUGGAGCAUGCUGUUCACGCUCUCCCGGCGACAGCUGCCUUGUGGGAUGACUUUCACAAGCGUGCGGUCUACGCGGUCUUGGUCGAAGAGCAUGCCACUACACUUGAACUCCAGGCAGGCUGCUGACACAUCCUGCUGCUCGGGAUCCCGAAUGCUACGGACAUCCCUGAUGCCAUAGAGCUUCCCAAUGGUGCGUGGAUGUGUCCCACCCAUGUUGCGAGACCUUAUGUUCACUUCCUGAGGUCCAUUAAUUUUGACUUUUAUGUAGCAGGCCCUAAAUUCCAUGGGCUUGGGCCACCAUGCCAGGUAGUCAUCGGUCCAGCUCAUGAGGUCAUCUUCACUGAAGGGAACAGUAUUGUAGUCGUACCGAUCUCCCUCUAUCCUGUAAAACCUGAAGUGAGCAGCACUGUAUGGAGCUUCCUCGCAUUCUUUCAGGUUUUCAUAGGCAUAAAUAGGGCCAUUGUUCUCAUCUGCAGAAUUUGGACUUGGCUUGGCCAUAUUGAUUCUGAAUGCGGUUUUCUUUGUGUUAGGGUCCUCGUGGUCUGUUCUCCUGUAGUUGAGCUUGUUGAGAUAUGGCUGUGGGACCCCAAUAGCAUUAGGAUUGAGUUUUGGAGCAGAGGGCACUGCUUCGAGUUCUUCACCCCCCAAGCUCGCCAAAAUGUAAGCUGCAUAGGCCUCUGGGUUCUGCUCGUCACAGAAGGCUGGCACACAAGCACCAUUGGGACCGGUGACCACGCUGUCAAAACGGCCCCAUGCUCUGGGGUUGGAGGAGAACCCUGGUUCUGGCUCCGUGUUUAUAACAGAAAUCACCACCCCCUGGAUCUGUUCGCUUGGCAGAAAUCUCUCACUUCUAUAUGCUCGGACUUUGACAUAGCACCGUCUGUUCUCUGGGACGUCUAGGUUAAAAAGCCGCCUUUCCUUGAUCUCCAUGUUCCCAACCAAAAAAGUCCUCUCUUCUCUUCUGCGCCGUCUGCUUUUCUCCAGGUUGAAGUCCCCUUCUUCCUCCCAUAAGCCUGUCUCAGGGUUCAGUGACCAAAGCUUCAUUUCUUGUAGGUGCUCUGGCAUCCUCACCUGAGCAGUGUCCAAGUGGACCUUCACAUCCUCUACAUUAAGAGUCUCAGUGCCCUGUUCAUCAGUGAAGUCCAGGGAAAACAUACCAUACGUGCGGAGCGGGAACACAUCUCCUUCGUCGUCUACAAAGUUCAGGUCACUUUGUGUCACAGGUGCUGUUGAGAGUUCUCUUGGGUCCAGAAACGUCACGCUGGCUUUCACUUUUCCUCUGUAAGGUUCUCCGUUCUUCCUGUAAAAUGAAUCAGGAGGGAUUUCUAAUUCGGCAAUAGGAUCAUCAUCUUCCUUUUCUCCCAAAGGAAUUACACUGGUUUCAGUGGAUUCCAGCAUGACAGGGGCUUUCUUUCGUAGUAACUUAAUGUCAUGAAACACAGCACCUCCAUUUUCCUUGAAGGGCAAAACUUUUGUUGUGUUCACAAACUUCUGCAGCCGAUCAACGAAGGUUAGAACCAGUCUCUCAGUAUCUGGUGGGACGUGGACAGAGAAGGUUCCCUUGUAGCCGGUCAUGCUCACUCUCUUGUUCCCCAUGUAGAUGUGGCCAAACCUCAGUGGCUCACCGUUAUCCACCGCUGUAGCUCUGCCCCGAACUGUUAUUUUUGUCUCGGUGCAUUUUUUACAGCCGCAUUCUACAGCAACUUUAGUGGGGAGCGUGUACCCAUCGCACAAGAUCUCUCUCACUUCCAUCUUAGACACCCCGCAGCAGUAGGAGAUGUUGUCCUUACAGCGGAGUCCCUUAUCCAGCUUCCCAACGCAGGUCUUUGCUGGGCACUUGCCCACAUCGUAGUAGAAUGAGUCAGUUGCUUUUUGGAAACAGUCGUGCGGAAGAUGAAUGAGGUGGCUUUGGGGCUGGGAGCUGCAGGCUGCCUCUUGUUUUCCUGUUGAAUAGCAUUUCUUAAUGAGCAGCAUGAAAUAAUUGUACAGUCAUCUGUAUGUGGUCUGAAACCCUCCGAGCUAAACAUUGCUUCCAAUCACAGGGAGGCUUUUGCAGCAAUAAAACAGAUGGUUUGCAAAAUUUUGGUUAGCUGGAUUCAUCUGGCCUUUGUUACACUGAAGCAGGUGCUCAGCUUUAAUUUAAGGCACCUGAUUAAGAGCAGUGCUGUUUGCAGGAGUGUCCCAGCUCCUGCUUACCAGCUCCGUGCUCUGCAGUUGCCUGGCUUCUUGGCCAUGAACAGACCUAAACGGGUCCCAGGAUUUAAAAAAGAAACAAAAAUAUUCACACGCUGGGCAGUGAUUACAGUGAGAAAUGACUGCCCAGCGGAUUAAGUUUGGCAGGUCAUCUGAAACCCAGAGCUCCGGUUUGUAGUGAGUAUCUGGCUGAUAACCAGCACACUCAGGCUUAUCUGCUAAUGGGUGCAUAAAAUAACACCCAAAUAUUUUUCCUGCACCUUUCCUUUCAUGCAUGUGUUGUAAUUUCUGAGCACUUUCUGUACCCCUGCUGCUUGGAGCACAUCACACACAUUUUCUCUUACCUAUUACAGAAAGCAUGGCAGGCUGGGACUUUGCUGAACCUCCAUCACUGACAGCCUUGCAGAAGUACUCUCCUGCCUGCCCUCUGUUCAGGUUCUUCAGAAUCAGGUUGUUUUUAUAUCUGUAUAUGGAAGGAUCCAGCAGGGAGCCAUUGUGGUACCUGCCAGGAACAGGCAGAUGGUUAAUGGGACAGAGACCUGACCGCAUGGCUUGGACAGAGCAGGGCCCAGAUCCUGUUUGUAUGGAUUUAGCCACACCUCCUGCCUCAGUUACACCACUUACAUCAUGGAGCAGCCAUGUCCCAGGAGCUGCCCUUUCAGAGUUGCGGUCAUGCUUAAAAGCAUAAAACCCCAGUGCGUUGCAUGGGGUGCUAGUCAGGCUGCAAAUCCUUGCAGGGGCUUCCCCUAAAACCAAUUCCAGACACAGCUGUCAGUCAUGCCUGCCAAGGUUUUUGAAACUCCUAUCUGAGUGUUUUUUCCAUUAAGUCCCUCUGCAGAUUGUAUUACUGCACCUGCGAGAAAUGCCAGCUCUGCAAAUGUGCAGGAAAUGAUCAUUUAUAGCACUGGGUUCUCAGUGUGUUUAUGCUUAAAAAAAAAAAAAAAGAAAAAACAAUAUCCCAGCUUUAUGGAGGUGGUAAGGAGGUAGAAAUCAAGUGUGUUCAACAAAACUGGUGGAAUUGGAGUCUUCAAAAACUUGGAAGACCAUCUAGUCUAAUUCCUCUGCAAUGAACAUGGACACCUACAGCUCCGUCAGGUGCUCAGAGCCCAUCCAGCCUGACCUUGGGUAUCCCAAGGGAUGGGGCACCCACCACCCCUCUGGGCAGCCUGUGCCAGUGCCUUGCAGCCCUUACUGUAAACAACUUUUUCCUUAUAUCCAGUGUAAUCCUCCCCUGUUUUAGUUUGAAACCAUUUCUCCUUGUCCUCUCACAUCAGGCCCUGAUGAGGUCUGUCCCCUUCUUUUUAUAGCCAGCUUGUAUUGAUAGCAGCUGUUGCUGCGACCCAGGUACAAGACCUUGCCCUUGGCUUUGUUGAGCCUCAUGAGGUUCCCGUGGGCCCGCUGCUCCAGCUUUCCGCCCUCCUGCCAGGUGGUGUGGGAUCAAUGGGAGUUCCUUACCAGAGAUAGCGAUCUGGGGCCGGAGUCCCCACAGCAUUGCAGCAGAGUGACACGCUCUGCCCCACUCUCCUCGCCUUGUCAUCAGGGCUCUUGAAAACAUAAGGUUUGCCUGCAGGAGGAGAAGAGGCCACCUCAUUACUCUUAUUUUUGUUAAUUGCUCUUAGAUGUGCUGGGCUUCCCCAUCUCUAAUUCUACCUGAUCUCUUCAGCUGCACUUGGAACGCCAGGUUCUUCCUGUUGGUCUCCGGCACGGUGAUGGCUGUGGUCGUAUAUUUGGCUUUCUUUAUUUUGAGGGUGUUUUUGCCAUCGGGACAGACCCCAGGAAUCCUAAAUGUGCCUUUAUUGUCAGCUGUUGUCAACAGCUUGAGAUUGUUGGCUUGCAGGUAGACCCGGGCAUUGUCUGCAGGUGAACCGUCCUCCAAGGAGACCUUUCCGUGCAGGGUCACAUCCUCACACAUGCACGCAUCGCAGUCGGCGUUCACGCGGCCCAUGGGACAGGUGAUGUUGCAGCCUGGGGUGAGGCAGGUAGGUCAAAAAGCAGCCUGAUGCCCUGCCAUGCUCCUAGCACGGCCUCACGCCUGCUUUCCAUUUAGAUGCAAUAAGGCAGAUAGUGCAUAAGGAAUAGAUUGUAUCGAAAAUGUAUUUCCAGAGAUUAUCAGCAGCUGUGUAUUAGAAACAUGGGGCUGAUGGAGUGCUGAGCCUCAUAAUUUGUAGAAGGCAGCCACAUGGAUGUAAUUACAGCUAGCAACUUUUCAUUACCAUCCCUAAAGGGCUGAAUUUCAGGGAAGCUUGAAUCCUGAUCUGCACGUGAGCUGAACCCUGGUAAAAUCACAAAUCCAAAUGCCUUCAGCUUUGUAGAUUCCUGUUGCCAACCCAUGCCCAAAUGCUGUGGCAUUGGUUUGUCUUAAAAGCCGCCUCUCUUAUUCAGCAGCAUCCUGGCUUGUGUACGACAUAGGCUAGGUCCUAAUAGCCUAACUGUUGAAUAGUCAUUAUCUGGUGAGUCCAACGAAUAGUCUCCCAAAGAGUGAUUCUGUGACAGUUUCUUACCUAUAGCAGUUAAUCCUACAUAUCCCUGUUUAUCUAUCCCAUUUACAAGGGUGCUCCCUUUACAGUCAGAGUUUCCCCCUACAGCAGCUGUGUGAUAAUCUAUUUAUUUGCAGCAAUAAAUAGAUGAAAUCAGAGAAAACCCUAUAACAACUUUCCUGGAGAAAACACAGACCAUUUUCAGAGUGAUGUGUUUAAAAAGGGGAGUACAAGAGUAAUACAACUAAUUACAGGCUGCUGUAACUUCUUCCUGGGGCUGGCUGCUGGCAGCUUUCAGAUCGCUGGCAAGGAGGAGAACUGUGGCAACAUGGCUGUGAGGGGAGUAAAAAACCUGCGUGGGGGUGAGAUCAGGACAGAACCGAGGUUAUGUGAGCACCUGAGCAUACGUGUCCGAUGCAGAGCCGCCCUUCCUCCAUGACUUCGUUACAGUGCACGCCCCAGAGGCGAUCUGCCAGGCAGGAUCGGGUCCGCUUCUGCACACCGGUUUGGCCACACUUUCCUGAGCACUCACUCCAUUUCGACCACGGAGACAAAAACUUUCUGGAAUCUUGCACCAGAACAGCUUGAAUGACAUAAUUGGGGUGUUAGUGAGACGCACAUUCAACACAGGGAAAGCAAGCACUUUCAUACAGCUUCUACGUGGCUCAGACUACGAGUUUGUAUUUGGAUAUUAUGCACCACAAACUCAAAGCAUGUUGAGGGAGCUGGGAAACAAAGCACGUGAAGGUGCCUGAACGCUUCGGACAUCAUUCCCUGAAUUUGGGACGAUUAAGAUCAGAUCAAGGCAUGGAGGGUGGCAGCUGAUUGAUGCUGGCAAAGCACUGUCAGAAUUUCAUGAACUGGAGCAUCAAGCCAAGAGCUGCUGUUUGGCAACAUCUGGAUAACCUUCUGGGAAUAGAUUUGCAGAUGGCAACCCCCAAAAAAGCAGCACUGUGUCCUCCCCAAGAGGGACAGAGGAUGCCAUGGUGAGUUCUGUGGCUCAGUUCCAUCCUGUGGAUACAGCUUUUCCCGUAAGAAACAUCAGAUUUGGGUCCAAACACCCUGGGGAGCAUGAGAGAGAGGAGGGUGUUUGAUGUACAUGGCCAGCGGGAAGAGGCUGGGAGAUGACGGAAGCAGAGAAUAAAAAUAGGAUGGAUGAAAGAGGGCACGGAAGGCAAGGACGAGGAGAGCCACCAAAACCAAGAGCAAAAUAGUUUGCUUCCGUAGGUUAGUCACAAUGAAAACAUUUGGAUUUCAUCACUUCUUCCAGCUCAAGAAAAAUACCCGGGUCGGGCAGUGGGGUCACUGGGCAGGUCACCAAACCCAUGUGCUGAUGGACUACACCUCAAGGUUUGUUCUAGGGAGAUCAACUUACCCCUCUUAUCAAGUUUAGGCAUAGGGAAGGGUGGGUGUGAGGGGAGAGCAUCCUCCUUGUCAGCUUGCUCGCCUUCCUCCCAUCCUUCUCAGCUCCCUAUGGACAUCACUAGGAACAACUGACCACGGCUCACUGAGCUCAGUAGCACCAGGCUACCAAAACCCAGCCACUGUGAUGGGACUGAGCAUUGAGAACAUGUUUUUCUGAAUACUUAGAGGCACAACACACUUGAAGAAGGGUCUGAGUGCUGCAGCACCUCAGGCUGAAUCCAGAAACAGGGCAUUAUUGCACCAAGAAGCACCCCAAAGAAGUCAUAAAGAUGUCUGGGAACAACUGUGUGCACCCCAUUGGGUACAGCCCUCUUGCUCUAUGGUUUUGCCACAGUCACACCCAAUCUAUAUAUUGAACCACCCCUUGCAGAGGGGCUCACGUGUCCUCCACCCCUCGCUGCUUUCUGCUGUGAAUAUUUUGGCAAACUGAGUGUGAUGCACAGCUCCAGUGCUGUUUUUGGUGAGCAGGAGGAGAGCAGGGAGCCACAUGCUGUCUGCUGUGGACUUUGGGGAAGAACAGAAGCCAUUCCAGGACUGAGCUCAUCUCUAACCCCGGGAAAUGACUUCAUGAACACUGGUAUUUACUCACAAAAACACAGCAUGUCAGAUGUCCCUGACUAGACUUUCUGUUUCGAGUCCAGUAUGAGACAAGAAUUUCCUUGGAUGAGCGGCUCCGGAGACAAUUCAGGGCUUGGAGGAGGAAAAGAAGAACCAGAAGAAAAAUGUCUGCAUUUGAGAGUCUGAAGGGUGAGGCUCUCUGAGCAAACAGGGAUUCAGGGAUGCCAAAAGCACCUGCACAAGGGCAGGGAAUGAGGGUCUGCAAGACCCCCAUUUAUAUGGGACGUGCAAUGCAAAACGUGCUCCAGCUGCACUUCUGCUGCAGGUGACCCCAUGCUCC
rnacentral:lncRNA from 1 species